rnacentral:rRNA from 1 species
CGGCAAGAGGGGCAGGCCCUAUACGUGCAAGUCGGACGGGAUCCAGGGGGUAGCUUGCUACCUUCUGGUGAGAGUGGCGCACGGGUGCGUAACGCGUGAGCAACCUACCCAUAUCAGGGGGAUAGCCCGGAGAAAUCCGGAUUAACACCGCAUGACACAGCAACCCCGCAUGGGGACACUGUUAAAUAUUCAUAGGAUAUGGAUGGGCUCGCGUGACAUUAGCUAGUUGGUGGGGUAACGGCCCACCAAGGCGACGAUGUCUAGGGGCUCUGAGAGGAGAAUCCCCCACACUGGUACUGAGACACGGACCAGACUCCUACGGGAGGCAGCAGUAAGGAAUAUUGGUCAAUGGGGGCAACCCUGAACCAGCCAUGCCGCGUGCAGGAUGACUGCCCUAUGGGUUGUAAACUGCUUUUGUCGGGGAAUAAACCCCACUACGUGUAGUGGGCUGAAUGUACCCGAAGAAUAAGGAUCGGCUAACUCCGUGCCAGCAGCCGCGGUAAUACGGAGGAUCCGAGCGUUAUCCGGAUUUAUUGGGUUUAAAGGGUGCGUAGGCGGCACUUUAAGUCAGGGGUGAAAGACGGCAGCUCAACUGUCGCAGUGCCCUUGAUACUGAAGUGCUUGAAUGCGGUUGAAGACGGCGGAAUGAGACAAGUAGCGGUGAAAUGCAUAGAUAUGUCUCAGAACACCGAUUGCGAAGGCAGCUGUCUAAGCCGUUAUUGACGCUGAUGCACGAAAGCGUGGGGAUCGAACAGGAUUAGAUACCCUGGUAGUCCACGCCCUAAACGAUGAUGACUCGAUGUUUGCGAUAUACAGUAAGCGUCCAAGCGAAAGCGUUAAGUCAUCCACCUGGGGAGUACGCCCGCAAGGGUGAAACUCAAAGGAAUUGACGGGGGCCCGCACAAGCGGAGGAGCAUGUGGUUUAAUUCGAUGAUACGCGAGGAACCUUACCCGGGCUUGAAAGUUACUGAAGCAUCCAGAGACGAUGCGUCCUUCGGGACAGGAAACUAGUGCUGCAUGGCUGUCGUCAGCUCGUGCCGUGAGGUGUUGGUUAAGUCCCGCAACGAGCGCAACCCCUAUGUUUAGUUGCAGCAUUUCAGGUGGGGACUCUAAACAGACUGCU